rnacentral:rRNA from 1 species
AUUGAACGCUGGCGGCAGGCCUAACACAUGCAAGUCGAACGAGUGGCGGACGGGUGAGUAAUGUCUGGGAAACUGCCUGAUGGAGGGGGAUAACUACUAGAAACGGUAGCUAAUACCGCAUACCAUCGGAUGUGCCCAUAUGGGAUUAGAGAGUAGGUGGGGUAAAGGCUCACCUAGGCGACGAGCCCUAGCUGGUAUGAGCGGAGGACAAGCCACACUGGAACUGAGACACGGUCCAGACUCCUACGGGAGGCAGCAGUGGGGAAUAUUGCACAAUGGGCGAAAGCCUGAUCCAGCCAUGCCGCGUGUGUGAAGAAGGUCUUCGGAUUGUAAAGCACUUUAAGUUGGGAGGCGUUACCCACAGAAUAAGCACCGGCUAACUUCGUGCCAGCAGCCGCGGUAAUUC